rnacentral:rRNA from 1 species
CCUACGGGUGGCUGCAGUGGGGAAUAUUGCACAAUGGGGGAAACCCUGAUGCAGCGACGCCGCGUGAGUGAAGGAGUCUUUCGGUAUGUAAAGCUCUAUCAGCAGGGAAGAAAAUGACGGUACCUGACUAAGAAGCUCCGGCUAAAUACGUGCCAGCAGCCGCGGUAAUACGUAGGGGGCAAGCGUUAUCCGGAUUUACUGGGUGUAAAGGGAGCGUAGACGGCAUGGCAAGUCUGGUGUGAAAGCCCGGGGCCCAACCCCGGAACUGCAUUGGAAACUGGCGGGCUGGAGUACAGGAGGGGCAGGCGGAAUUCCUAGUGUAGCGGUGAAAUGCGUAGAUAUUAGGAGGAACACCAGUGGCGAAGGCGGCUUGCUGGACUGUAACUGACGUUGAGGCUCGAAAGCGUGGGGAGCAAACAGGAUUAGAUACCCGAGUAGUC